UACAGAGGUCCCAAGCGUUGUUCGGAUUCACUGGGCGUAAAGGGCGCGUAGGUGGCCACUUCAAGCGUGCGGUGAAAGUCGGGGGCUCAACCCCUGAUCGGCCGUGCGAACUGGGGGGCUGGAGCACUGUAGAGGCAGGCGGAAUUCCGGGUGUAGCGGUGGAAUGCGUAGAGAUCCGGAAGAACACCGGUGGCGAAGGCGGCCUGCUGGGCAGUUUUGCUGACACUGAGGCGCGACAGCGUGGGGAGCAAACAGG
rnacentral:rRNA from 1 species